rnacentral:rRNA from 1 species
GAUGAACGCUGGCGGCGUGCCUAAUACAUGCAAGUCGAACGCAUAGCGAAAGGUGCUUGCACCUUUCAAGUGAGUGGCGAACGGGUGAGUAACACGUGGACAACCUGCCUCAAGGCUGGGGAUAACAUUUGGAAACAGAUGCUGGUACCGAAUAAAACUUAGUGUCGCAUGACACAAAGUUAAAAGGCGCUUCGGCGUCACCUAGAGAUGGAUCCGCGGUGCAUUAGUUAGUUGGUGGGGUAAAGGCCUACCAAGACAAUGAUGCAUAGCCGAGUUGAGAGACUGAUCGGCCACAUUGGGACUGAGACACGGCCCAAACUCCUACGGGAGGCUGCAGUAGGGAAUCUUCCACAAUGGGCGAAAGCCUGAUGGAGCAACGCCGCGUGUGUGAUGAAGGCUUUCGGGUCGUAAAGCACUGUUGUAUGGGAAGAACAGCUAGAAUAGGAAAUGAUUUUAGUUUGACGGUACCAUACCAGAAAGGGACGGCUAAAUACGUG